rnacentral:rRNA from 1 species
CACUAUGCCUAGCCCUAAACAAAGAUGCCCUUAUACACUUCACAUCCGCCCGGGUACUACGAGCAUUAGCUUAAAACCCAAAGGACUUGGCGGUGCUUUAAAACCACCUAGAGGAGCCUGUUCUAGAACCGAUAACCCCCGUUAAACCUCACCCCUUCUUGUUUAACCCGCCUAUAUACCACCGUCGUCAGCCUAUCCUGUGAAGGACUAAUAUUAGACAAAGUUGGCACAGCCCAAAACGUCAGGUCGAGGUGUAGCGCAUGGAGGGGGAAGAAAUGGGCUACAUUCUCUACACAGAGAAUAACGAAUGACACAAUGAAAUACGUGUCUGAAGGAGGAUUUAGCAGUAAGUUAAGAAACAGAGUGUCUUACUGAAACCGGCCAUGAAGCGCGCACACACCGCCCGUCACUCUCCCCGAACCAAACCAACCAAACAACAAUAAUUAAUACAAUAUUACACACAUUAGAGGAGGCAAGUCGUAA